AACAUUGCUCUCCAGAGAAAGGGGGCAGCAGGGGUGGUAGACAGUGUACAAGUGAGUUCAUAACUGCCUGUCAGGGACCCUGCUCUGCACUUAGGAGAUGUUUUCUUGUGCCAGCUAUAGCUCAGCACCUACGGGAUCACCAGCAUGACAGCAGGAGCAGUCAGCUGCCACUUUCUCCUGGUGACCCAGGGUGUUCACCCAUCAGUACACUUGCACUCACACACAUGUAAAAGCCCCAGGCCAUCUGCUCUUCUUCAGACUGCAAAAUUAUGUAGUUUGAAAAGUCCUAAAAUGCUGAUUCCUCCCUCAGCAGGGACACAGUUCUCCAGAAAUACAAAAGCAUGAGUCCACAGGGGAAAAAGGAUAUACUGGAGAGUAAAACACUGUAACCGUCUAUCAAUGCCAUGUGGGAUGCUGCUGAAAGAAUUUUGGAACAACUGUGAGACUUUUUGGAUGCUCAAACACUGAAUGAGUCAAAAAAUCAUCUGUGUCCUACAGAGAAACAUUUUAGAAAACAAAGCAAUUGGCUUCUAGCAACAUGAUGUAACCUUGGUUUUUCCUCCCCUUAUUGUAAGUGCAUCUCUGGGUGUUUGCUUUUAAAGCUGUAUCCAUUAAUAAUGUGCCUCUAUAUUUAUUUAGAGAUAUCUCAAACAAGGAGCGCUUAUCCGUAGCUCCAGGCAACCCAACAAUUUUAAUACAUAAACAGCUAUAUAAAUGAGUCUCAUAAUUGUCCAACAAAAGCUUCAGCAACAAAGAACCCCAUAAGCACACCAUCUCUGCUCAGGAUGCGCAAAAUUCGGCAUCCACUUCAGCAGCCAAGGAGAAUAAAUAAGCUUUCCAAGGGAACCAGCUCGGGUUAUUACAGAUCAAAUGGAGGAACAAGUUGUUUGCCUUUCCUUACCUUUAAAAAAAAAAAACCAAAAAAAACCAAACCCACAAAUGGAAAAACAUGGGCCAGUUUUUCAAGCAAGCUCGGCACGUUGCCUGCCUAAAUUACACUUACAUGCAAGUGCAUGCAAAUGCGUUGUUUCCCUGGUCAUAUGCCUGAACUGCAUCCACAUUUUCCUCAAAUGCCUUCUGGAACGUGACAGGACACGCACGAGCAACCUCUCCAAUCCUUCAGAAACCUGAGCAUGGGCAUGCUGGUGGGAACAGAGGAAACACCUGCAUUCCUCACAGCACAAAUGCAGCCAAAAUAAUGAUGAGUCUGAAAAAAGCCCGAGAGAAGGAAAAGCAGAAGAGCAUCCCUUUGGGAAUAGACUCAGCCAGGUCCCUAUCUGACCCUGAAGGCUCGAAGAAUGGAUGUACCCAAAUCCAACAGAAUGGAGCAUGACCUCCACUGGAAACUACACAUGCUGGAAAAGAAAAAGCCUGUGUUCCAACUUUGUGCUUCGAGUCCUGUUUAAUAAAUAAUAACAGAGUAUGCUGGAACUGUGUCAGCCAUGUCAUUUCAGGUGAGGAAGGCUUGUGUUUUCUAGGUACGAGCUCUGUAAACCCCAGAGGAGCAGGGUGCCAGGGCAAGCAAGGGUCACACGGUGCUCAGCGAGGCACGUGCUCACCCACAGCCACGUGUGCCCGGACAAAUGUAUUUCUCUCUCCUGCAGAAACUACACUUGAGAUCUUGUGGGCUGAUUUUCUUAAUCCAAAAGCAAAGGUCAAACAGAAAGUACGUGGUUUAUUUAUGGAGAACCUUAGCCAUCAGACUUUCCAAAAGCAUCAGCAAAUUCUGCACAUCCACGUUUAAACCCCUCAGAAAGGUGUUGUGCCCUGUGCUUCCAAAGGCCCCCCCCUGUUCAGAUGCUGUGCUGGCAGUGUCAGGAGCCAGGAGUCUGGCCCAGCACCAGCCAGCCUGGCACAUCCCACAGCAGGGCCAUGUCCACCAGGAGAGGGGACACGGUAAACUUAGACACAGUGCAUCCUCUGAGGAUGUCAGCUCUUUUGAAUUAUUUACUUAUUUCUUAUUACAUUACUGAAAAGGAGAGUGAGAAAAAAACCCCUCCCAACUCGCCUGAAGAGGAAACGAAUAGGGAAACUUUGAGAUUUCUCAUUCCUCCAAAAAGCCCCUCAGUGAGCAUGGCCACCGCAGCUGCCCCCGAGAGGCCUUGCACCACCUCAAUCCCGAUACCAACAAGGAAGUACCAACAAGGCACUUAACCACACAGCCAGUUUCUUCUCUAAGCCUUCGGGUUGCCUCAGAAGUUUUUUAAACAAGACGCUUUCCUGUUUUUGAAACCUGUGCAUCCGUAUGGUUUGCAGGUUACUCAAAUAACCUUAUCACUUGGAGCAACGCUGGCAUGAAUUUCAAAACUGCUUACUGCGGUGCUCCCCUCCCCUCUCCGCACAUAUCUAUUUACUCAUAGGGAGCCUUAUUUACAGUAUCUUCCUGCCAACUGCUGACACAGAAGAAAAAAAAGCCCUGGGUUACACAUUAAGCUUUAUCGUUGAAGUAUUCAUGCCAGACGGUGUCCAAACAGAGUUAACUGACUGACCUUAGCUCAGGGUAAGCCACACAAGGGGGAAAUUUCUAUCACAAUCUGCUUGCACGGGCAGAGCUCGUUUCGCACCACCAGCUUUUUCAUCUCCUCCCCCCCUUCAUCUGGGCUGAAAAGGCUUUUCAAAGAAAACAUGGUUUUGUUUUCAGAAAGCCAAGUAGAGCUGGUUCCUUGUAAGUUCAUUAAAGGAGGAAUUACCAGAAGGAGAUGUUUGCAGGUAAAUUUUAAGGCAUGGAGAGGGCAUCCUGUACAACAAAUCCUGAUCUAAAAUCCACACAGCCCGCGAGUCAAAUUCAAUUCUUCUGUCAAAACUGGGAAAACGAAGAGGACUGCCGUGCAAGAAUAUGCCAUCCAGAGGGUCUGGAAAAUCCAGAAAUCAGCUUCACUAUGCCUGUUUUGCACAGCAGCUUUGGAAAGAUCUGCCAAACGUAACAGUUUCAUUUGACAGUCAUCUUUUGGCUUAACUUCUGAGCUGGCUGGUGGCCAUCUCCCAUUGCACAAUGAAUGCCUGCAAAAUUAAUCAUAAACUCCCUGCCUGGAACUCCCAGUGCUGCUCUCCUGAAGGGUACCUGCAGUCUGCUCCAAAACCAUGACAGUACCUCAAACCCUGUGUUCAUUAAUGGCCCAGCCAGCGAGGGAGGACAAACCAUCACAAAAACAAUCCAUGAACUUUAUUCUUCCACUCCCACUUCUGCAAUCUGCUGGCCGAGCCAUUUACCUCUGUGUACACUUCAUGACAGCCACACCACAGCCAGGCACAAAGGCGCUUAUCUCGACCUCACACUUCACAUCCUUUCUUCUCACAGCUAACACUUGGCUGGUGAAGAAAGCUGUACAACCUGUCUUGGGAGAAGGAAGAACCAAGAGCUGCUCUCAGAUUAACCGGUCCCGAUCCUCUCUCCAGUAAAUUCUCUACCACCAAUUCGGCAGGGGUGCGACGUUGCAACAUGUGCUGGCGAAUUUGCCUCACACUGCAAGUCAGCGCAGACAAGAAGGCAGAGCCUCCCUGCUCAUGGUGGAAGUCAAGCCCGAGCAUGCCCAGCAGCUGGGGAGACCCAUGUGAUGACAACAGCAUCCAGCUCCAUCUGGUGAUGUGCUCCCAGCCCCCCCAGGCACUUUUCCAUCUAGUCUUGCAAGCAGCUGGAUCAAUUUACUCUAGCCUACGGUGCACUGCACAGGCACAGACUGAAGUUAUUACUCAUGGAAAUCCCCUCUGUCUCAGUGCUUUGAACAAGGAAUCAGGUAGCUUUCAACCUCCUGACAAUUAAUAGCCUUUGGUCGAGGGAGAACAGUGCAAAAACGCUGGAAGGGAUGGGUUUCAAAACAGCUUGCUUAGUUUCUAGUAAAUUAAAGGGAGUGGGCGGUUGAGGUACACAGUAAUAUUAUCCAGCCCAGUGUGGUCUUCACUGACGUCAGCAGGACAUUUUUUUCCCUUCUUUUUCCCUCUGUCUGCCUGCCUCCUGAAAAGAGACACAUGGAGGCUAACGCUGUGACAGAAGCAUGGCUCACAUACCCGGAGAACCUCCAGCUUUCCAUCAACAAAGCCAGAGCGCAGAUGCUGCUGUGUUGCAAAUGAGCAGCACCAAAAUAUAUGCAAGUCAUUUCAGAGGAGGAAAAAAGCUGUUGGAAACAGAAAUCAUGAGGACUUGCAGUAUGUAUUUCUCUUUGUGUUGCAUGAUUAACUGUUCUGACUAAGACAACGUUCUUCCUGUGGCUAAGAACACAUCCUCAUCUCAGAUUUUACUUGAAAUAGCACAUUUGACCGUGACCCCUCCCCACAACUGCUGUGCCCAUCCCAGUACAGCUCUGUGGUGUUUGCAACUGUGUUUUCUCAGUCUCACUGAACACAUAGUUUUCUCUGAGGCCCCUGUACUGUAGGCUGGAGGCAUUAUACAAGAGCUGCCAGCUUUGCACCGAAAAUAUGCCAAUAAUUUCAGAAGAAAAAUUCCACUAUGCUUUCAGCAAACGUGAUCUCUGUGCACCAUCCUGCACUAUGCAGCCUUUUCAUGCACUACUACUUACAUAUGGAGUAAAAGGUGGUUGGACAGCAAAUAAAAAGUGUACAACACUGAAAUGCUGCAGGUAGGAAAAAUGGCCCUUAGGCUCGUAGCCGUCACCUUCCAGGUGAAACAUAACACUACAGUGGCCACAUUCACUGGGUCAAAAACGUGAAACACAGAAAGUGUCCAGACCAGGGUUUUUUUAGGGUUGCAAGAGACAAAGGGGACUUUUUUAUAACAAAAAUGUGUACUGAAGCUGCUGUGCCAGGUUCUGACUCAACACAGACACAUGCAUACUGCUCAAAGUGGAAGAUUUUUCCAGUAAUUGAGUGGACUGAAUGAGCUCAUCAUGACCCACUGAGCAAGUUUUCUUAGUAUUCUUUUUGGGCAAGAGAACAGCUUUGAUCAGUGUUUGCACUCAUUUGACUUUUCCCCUGUUCCCAAACUUUUGUUCCUUUCAUUAAACACCCGUUCCAUUCGGCUCCUCUUGGUGAAAGGAGCAAUUUUUUCCUAAGUGUAGCCACGGGACUUAAGUAAAUAUCACUGAAGCAUUAAAAAUCCAAUGUAUUAAUGAAAUUAUACUGCAGGCAUUGUCAAGUUGCAGGAUCACCAGAGCGAGAGCAGGAGAAGAGUACUGUCCAUGAAAGCCAAAAGACACGGUUGUUCCACAGAACACUGCAGACACAGACAGGGCAUCCUUGUGCAGGAGGCUGAAGGGGAUGUGUGAAAGUGGAAGACCAUGAAUCACUGCAAACAAAUUAUGUGAUCACCAACUGGCACAUUCUUCUUCUCCUUCCAUAUCCUGAUCCUCUGCUUUUCAUGAUGGUCACCCAUGCAAAUUGAUGGCAUUCUGCCUGCUGUCCUGAAGAGCAUUUUUGCUGCUUGUUAUUAAGGUAUGAAACUUUACAUGGUGUGAAGGUUGAGGAAAAGGUCUUGAACCAAGUCAUUUUGGGCAGGAGUAAGCUACAAUUCCCUUAGGACCACAGCUAUAGACUGGGCUUUGCUGCAAACACCCCACAUCUUUGUGUGCCUGCCUUCGGAGAACAGGUCAGAGAUUUUUACAAGGAAGUAUCGCCCGUUGGCCUUUUCUGCAAGUUGCCUGCUGAGGUCCCUUUGACAACAGUGUCUUUCAGGAUUUAUUUGCAACUUUCAUUAGGGCAUUUUGGAGAAAAAAUAAAGAAGGAAUGAAUAGCUAUCCGUAAUUACAACUCAGCGUGGCAGUGCCUGUGGGUUAAUGUAGCUCAUAUCUCCAAGUUGGCACUCCUGAGUUUUAGCCCCCAACCUAUGCUCCCUUCUUCCUGCAAAUGGAAAGCCCCCAUUGCUUUACACAGUAGGCAAAGACAAUUACCCUCUGGACUUUGAAAGAAAAGGAACUUCGAUGAAUAUGUAACUCAGCUAAGCAGCACUUUUCAUUUAAAAGAAAACACUCUUCCAUUUUCACACCCAACAGGUGCAGCCCAGGUGGUAGCCUGCUUUCUUCCAAGGUGUCACCGAAGAGUAGGAACGGCUCCCCAAAGCCCUACCUACACAGCUUCAGGCUCUCUGACUGGGCAUUUCGACAGCUCAGCUGUGGCCACAACAGCCUGCAGCCCAGUGUGCCUGGCCAUGGCAGGUGAGGUUGAAAGGAAAUCCACAGGCUUCUCCAGUUCUCUUUUUCAGCUAUUUUUGGAGAUGUAGUCAAGUCUAGGCCACAUUGAUCCCACAGCUAUCUUCAGACAGCCUUUGGCCACCCUCCCAUGUGAGAGCAGAGCUUAAGCCCAGGUUUUAAGUUCCAAGCAAGGUGGCCCUGAUGGUGCAAAACAUAGCCCAGAUUGCUCAGCUUGGACUGAGGCUGUCAAUGUACACUGGUUUUGUAGCAGAGGAUCGAUGGCAGCUGUCAACCCAUGUCACCCUGGCCACCAAACAGCCAUGGGCUGGUAAUGGGUCUGAGCCACUCAUGCUGCAGGCAAGGCUGAAGGUGGACCUGAAGGUGCACUUGCCUGAAGGUGGAAACAAGACCACCACGCAGAGCAAUGCCCCAUCACCCCCAGACAAAUGCAAGCAAAAAUGUUAACCAUCCCAUGGGACAGGCCCCUGGAAAAUAUUUUAUGUGAUUGCUUCUUACUAGCCCUGGUGAAAAGCAUGCAAAGAGUGCUGCACAUCUCAGCUGGCAGGCAAAGAGUCCUUUACAGGGACACCCAUGAAUUAUUAUUACCACCAUUCUCCUUUACAAAGCCUUCAGAAAUCUUUCCAAGAUGGUAUUUUUGUGGCCAGACAAAGGUCAGAGACCCUGCUAUGAUAAAUCAGGCCUGAUUCGGAGGCAGGUUCAGCUGACAGAGUCAUCUGACCAGGGCAGCUGUGCACAGACCCUGAACCAGUUCCCUUCUUGUGUCUCUGUCAGGCUGGGCAUGAAGCUCAGACAUCUGCUAGUUCCUGAAUUACAGCGUGCAUGCAAUAACGGACGUGCCCUGCUCGGGGAAGCUUGUGUUUAUUAUUUUCCAAGCUUUGCAUCAACUACACACACAACCAGACCGCAGCGUCCGGUCACCAAAUCUGCUGUGUGCAGCUGCGUUGGCUGCUAAAAUGAAUGGUGACUUCGUAAGGCUGUGGCUUCCCUAGGAAAAAAAAAGAAAAAAACAAAACUAAAGGAAUAAAUUUGCAUUUCCCCUUUUCUGUCUUGCCAAAUCCUUCUCUUCGAGAAACUACGCAAAGUCCUCCUAGGUAGCAUCGUACUUGUAAGGAGGGCAGCAGGCCCAGCCAUAUCGCCCACAGUUUUGUUCGUGUCCAGCAAAAAUGUUUGGGGAUAGUUCACAGCCACCCGGUGGGGGCCAGCGCAGCCACGUAUUCCCUGGGGUUUGGGGAGGAUUGAUGUCAACCCAGAGCCAAAGCAAGGACAAGUGGCCCCACGGGACUCCCCAGCAUGUCCUGGGUGCCCUGCUGAGCACCACCACAAUCGGCUCUUGCUAUCAUGCCAGUCUGGGCCCCAGUGCAUCCCCUGCCCUAUUCCCACUCCGUGCCUGCCUUCUGAGGUGCUGUUUGUGCUCCCCCAUGAAAAAAUGCUGCCUCACUGAGUGGCCCUGGGUCAUUCCCUGUACUGCCACCUGCCCCAGCAGGAAACUGCGGCUGCCAGGCCCCCAGUAGCCUGUGCAGAAAGCUGGGGCACCCCUCUAGACCCAAAAAUGCCCACAUUGGGGUAGGUGGCAGCUGGGGUCCCCCCACAGCCAUCACCAGUGUUCAGCGUGAGCUCCCAGCUCACAGCUGUUGUCCACAAAGACGCUGAAAUCCCCUUCCACCAUUCCCCUGCCAGUACCACUGAGCUGCACUGCUUUGACCUUUUCAGGGAAAUCUGCCUGGAUGCUUUGGCUCUGACCCCUGGCAGCUGUAUCAGAGGGGGAGCUGAGCCCACUGUAAAGGUCAGAGAGGCACAGCCUGCCCCUCAGGGGGCUGCUGGUCCUGCCAACUCAGCUGUUGUCUUCCCAUGACUACAGCUGCCAUUGCUGCUUGGAAAGGGCAUGAGCACGAUCCUGUUCUUACAGUCUAGAAAUCGUAAGGCCAUGGUCUCAGACGGGCUCUCAGAAACAGGAGAGGCAAGGUGCUCUGCCCUGGCUCCUUGUCAGGGAAAACUGAGAAGGGUCCUCACAAGAAGCUGCUUUUAGGGUUGAUCACUUCUCAGAGCUACUUAGUUACGCACUCAAAGGGCCAAGCCUUGUGCUUCACAUAAGGCAUUUGUGUCUGCUUGAAAAAAGUUUUUAAAAGCCCCUGAGGCAGAGAAAUUUUAAAGACACAGCAAAAAACCCCAAAGCUUCAAGCCUGCAAGCACCUCUUCUAACCAUACACAAAUCGCUUCCAUAUUUUACAAGUUUUAAAGAGUGUGUGUAUGUGCUUUGUAAAUCAGCAAGCCUGACCCUGAAGCCAUCCAAAACUCAUGAUCAAAAACUUCUGAGUAUUUGAGGUGCAGGUGACAUCAUUCUCCAAAGGGUUCCUUCAUCUAAGUAAGAAAAAAAAGGAAUUUUUGAAGUAGAACAACAGAAGCUCUGAAAACUUGCUUUCUGUGCCAGGAAACAUGAUGCAUAAUGGGGACACACACAGUCCCAUCAGUACAAGCAAAAAGCAAACAGAACCUAUUUUCUGUACUUAUGGGACUAAAAUGACCUCCAGACAAAUGCCCCACCACCUAUGACAUUUGACUGUUCAGAAACAAAAAUCUGUCCUGUGGCCUCUGCGCUUUCUGUCUACCCUCCCGCAUCUCUACAUCCAGCCUGGGGAGCACAGGUAGGGCAUGGGGACAUGGCUGAGGGGUGCUGCCACCCACAUACUUCUGUGGUGUCCUCACUGUAGUGCCCCUGGGUUUCUGCCAACACUGUUGAACGGCUACAGUUCACACGUUGCUGUGUCAAAGUUUCUUGGUACCCAGUUUCAGGGUAGCAUAACAUCCCAGAAGGCUGGGCUGUGGCCACUACCAAAAUAGCUCAGGUUUGCUCCCUUACCCCAGGGCUGUGACUGUGAGACCAAGUCAUGCAAUCCAAUAGGAGCAGAGCAUAUCUGUAGGGCAAAGCACUGGGGAUUAAGGAUAUUACAUCCAUGUAGUGCACAUUUUAAAAGGGUUGCAUCAGACUAGCUGCAGUCUGGCUCUAUGAACUCAGCUAGGAAGCAGACAGGGAGCUCCCAGAGAGCACUUUCCAGUUCAGUUUCUUCCACCAGAAACCCAGCCUAUGUAUUGCAAGGUCACCCCACAAGGUGGAAAGUUGUGUGGGAGUAACAAGGGUGUUUGUCCAAAAGUCAUCCCCAGCCUGAACUGAGCCAGUAAUGCAGGCACUUCCAGCUCAUCUGCCGGUCCUGGGCACAGAAAUGGAAGAGCCCCAGUGCCACUGCUCACCAGACGCUAAGUGAUUUGUAUGAGCAACCUAGGUAGACCCAGGCAACCUGACACAAGGCACAAGCACAAAGGACACUGGCUGAGAAGGUGAAGGAAAGGAGAUAUGUUUAGGAAGACAGUGCUGCAGAGGAGGAUGGAUGCAGUUACAGACCCUGCCUGUGUACACUGAGAUCCAGCGGGACAGGACAAGGUUUUUUGGGCCAUCCCAUCUCAUCUCCAUUUCCAUCCUCGGCCCACAGUGUGCUCCUGCAGGCUGUGGUGAGAGAGAGGAAGGUGUUCCUCAAUGUCCUCAAUGCACAUCUGAGUGAAGGCCUGGGCCUGGGGGUGGAAGCAGUGGGGCAGGGGCAUCCAGCUCAGCCCAGCCUCCUCCGGGAAAAGGCAGUUGGGCAGGCUGGCCUGCAGCCCAGGCAUUCAGAAAGGAUACGAAAGCUCAUCAUUGUGAAAGCAGGAGGUGACAGUUCAUGCUAAGGCAAGGGGCUCCAGGGUGAUUUCACUGCCAGCAUUACGUACAGCUCGGUGUGCCACAACUCUGCAGCUCCUCAGAGCUCCCCUCCAGCACAGCGGCCUCAGCAAGCCUCUAGGAGCGUUGUCCCUCAUUCACCAGCCAGGGCAGCUCACAGCAUGGCCAAGGACAACUCUUCUGCUUUGACAUACCCACAGGACUUGUCAUAUCUUUGUCUUUAUAGGGAAGAACAAAGACAGGAAGAUAAAGGCAAACAUUUGUGACAAAAAAGAGGUGCAAAAUCACAAAGGUGCCAGGUAGUUUGGAGUUCCAUGGAAAGGCAGGGCCAUCUCAAACAGCCAGAUGCCCAUGAAAUGUUAUUUCUGGGCACCACUUCAGAACUGACUUGGAGGGAAGUGUGACAUUUACUGAGUCACCUCCACCACUUCCUGCAGCACCUGGCGCUUACUUCAAGGGCUCUCAUUUAGAUACUGAGAACUUGCUUGCUGUUCAGGCUGAAAAUAACACCAUUUACUUUCAUUUUUUUUCUGAAAAGCUUUGCUGAAAUCAUGAUCUGUAAUGCAACAGCCUUCACUGCAGCCCCAUGUGCAGUUCACAAGCAGGAUGAAAGAGCAGCUUAAAAGCUGUCAGUCACCUGGUACUUCUCCCAGGAGGCAAUCAGCAACACAUAGCUGCUUUCUCCUUGAAUCCAGUAACCAGCAACAAGACUUCCGUUUUCCAAGCCACCCAAGCCAUGCAGCAUCCUGAGCACUGAUGGAGGUUUUCGCCACUUCCCCCGACUGCCCCAGUAAGCUGUGGCCUCCUCAGCCUCAAACAUGGGCUGCAGCGGCCGCACCAUGAACAGAAAUAACUUUGAAGGACAGCUCUGAAUCUCUGCCUUUAUGAAGAGUCAUUUAGGGCUCCUGUGUCCCUGCUUGUUCCUGUCAGAACGCUCCAAGGCCCGGGAUGCACAGUCUCAAAGUGCAAGCAAUUUCUGAGAAGAGGAAUUGAAAAGAAAAGCUAAAUCUAAUUUAAAAAAAACAAACCACAAAACCAACAAUCAAACACAGACAAGUAUUUCUUUAGUUUCACAUCUAAAUUAUUUUUACACAUUUUUUCUGCUUUUAAGUACUCCCCUUGCUGAGGAUCUAAAACUCUGAUUAAUUAAUUGUGUAUACACAUUAAGCCUCCCUGGUUUGAUAUCCAGUUUGUUAAUAAGAAAAGGACAGAUUUUCCACCUUGGUAUUACAGAAUUUACACAACGUUUCACAUUCAAUCCAAAAACAUUUGUGGUGUUUCUUUCAAAAGUUGAAGCUGGAUGAAGAACAUCUUGUCCUUAUGAAGACAAAACCUUCCAUUAAAGGCCAUUACAAUCACAAAGGAUCAGCCACCUAAACCCAAGUGUCUUUGUUGGCAGCACAUCCAUUAAAACAACUACUAGAACGGGAUAUGACAUGUGAAUGUUUAGUCUGUGGAAAAAAAAGAAAAAGGCAAAAAAAAAAGUAUCAAAUGUAGAAAUGUAGAAAUGUCAAGGGUGAAAGAGGAACUGGGGUUGUUUGCUGUUAAAAAUGUCGCCACUUGCAUCACACUGGCCUGCGAGAGCCAUGCCUGCAGAAGCACUAUAGAAGUUCUAGGAAAGGAUGAAAAACCUCCCUUUCUUGUGAAAUACACUGUUUUCCCAGAGACCAUUCCAAUUCAGAGUCAGACAGGAGUAAAUGUGCAAAGCUGUCUGAGAAGAGCUGCAAACCCAUGUUGUUCUGCCCGUGCAUUUGGAUGUCAGAGCCGCCAGGACACACCAUACAGCGGCUCUGCAGCGCCAGGGAGAACAGUGCUCACCCAGCAAAGAGCAAACCCACCCACUCUGCUGAUGCUCUGCUUGCUCCCUUGCUUUGGGCAGACUCUAAGGGAAUAGUUCAUUUGUUUCCAGCCUCUCCUUGUUUCUCUGGUCUGGGAUAUCGACCAAAAGGCACAGAAAAAUGUCAUGUGGACAAUAAACUGCCUAUUUAAAGGAAUUAAUAUUGCUGCAUUAAGCCUCCAGGGUCUGGGAGGAUUCAUACAGGUACACAGCUGGACAUUCAGCUCCGAAAAAUGAGGCUGGACAGAGUAAGACAAAAUUAUGUUCUCUCCACCUGGACAUAUUUUAUAGCCUGUCAGUCUGCCACAUUAAAUGGAAGAGAGGAAAGACCAGUUGGGACGUGCACCCAAGCUUAGAUCUUCUGAUCAUUCCUCUUUUUUCCCCUCUUUCUACUCAUAUACCUGGAGACUUUGAAAACUAGGUGCAGGCUGGGGCUGGUUAUGAACCAAAACAAGGAGAUGGCUGUUGUGGACAUCUGUACUUGCUUUCUUGUGGGACUUGUCAGAAAAAGAGGCAGGCAGCAUUUUUACUGGAAGGGGAGAUUAAUCAUCUAGGAGAUGCAAACACAAGAGAAGAGAAAAUAGAGUCUGUUGAGACACUUCCAGCUACAUUGUGCCCCUUGCCCAGCUUGUUCCUUGCCUUGAGGGCAGGCUCAGCACCCGAAGGUCUCCAGGGCUCUGAAAGAGCAGAGCUGCAGGGGAGUGGCUGUGUGCCAGAGACAAGCACCUCCCAUGCCACUGCAAAGGCAGCAAGAUCCUGUACACAGCCACUUUCUUCAUAAAAUUACAGAAAAUGCUAAUUUAUGGCAAAUCCUUCCCAAUUAAGGAGCAUAAAGCUCCACAGUUAAUCAAGCUGAUUAAAUGAAUUAAACUUGUUAAGAACAGUUUUAUCAAAACAUUUACAUUUCUGCUGAGCAGAGAUUCAUGUGACUUUGAGCUGCAAAGUAUACAGUUGCCAUGAGAGGACUGAAAAGAGGAUUUGGAACAUUAACCAUGUAAAAAAUCAAGCCUACCACUGCUUUUCCUAGCAUUCAUUUAAACAAAGGAGUUCCCUACUCCAUUAAUUUCAUAACCAUGUCAGGUAUCUCCUACUUUCUGGAAAGAGAGGCAUUGUUUACCCACAGUGGUAGAAAACAUAUGGGUCCAUGGGUCCAAAGGUAGGGAAUCCAUCCCCACCUUAAGAAACAUCUCCAAGCCAAAGUGCUGCCAGAGGUCCUGGGAGAGCAGCACCCCUCACCCAACCUAUGGUGCACAUCCAUGGCACUUGUACAGGUAAAAUGAUGGUCUGGGUCCGAGAGCACCCAUAAAGAAAUGUGUCCGUAAGAGUACACAAUACAAAUACCCACAGCUAUCUGAAGGAUUAAAGUAACUGAGCAGGGGAUUUUUUCCUUGCAUAUAAAUCUGCUCAGCUUUAGGCCCCACAGACAUGGGUCCAAUAAAUGUCUUAGAGGCCUAACUUCUUAAUUUAGACACUUGUCUUCAGUGUCACCCAUCCAAGGAGCAGUGUACUGCUGAGAGGAACUGGACAUUCAACCAGCAUCCUACAUCCUUCAUAAGCGAGCUGAGCAGGUUGAUGGUGACAUCCCAUUUACCUGUGCCACACCAUGACCCACCAGCCCCAUGUCUUCCCAGAGCCUCACUUGAUGGGGCUGAGCUGGGAGCAGACAGACCUGUAAUGGCUGGACACAGGCUGAGCUGGUAUUGAGGGUUUUCUCUGCUUAUGCAGAGAGAGAGGCACCCUCUCACAACACUCCACACCUCUUUCAGAAUAAAUAACAUGUGGGGUUUGCUGUCUGUCUGCUCACUGUAGAGCAAGUCAUGAUGAUAGGACUUACACUGAAUGCCUCACUCCUGCACAGCUCAAAUACAACACACCAUGGCCAGGAACAAGGUAUCUAACCAAAGAGCAGCAGCCAUGCCUGUCACAAAUGGGUAGCCCAUGUGCAUGCAGAAGGCAGCUUAGCGUGGGCUUCGGAUCCUUCUCAAAUAUUUAGCCCACCUCACUGAUGGGUUUUCUUUGCUGCUGCAACAUGCAGUGCUCUCCACAGCAGGCAAUUUGAAUGUAGCGCUGCGUGUCUGCCCAGCACUGCAUCCACAAUAAUGUCCUGCCAACUGAGGAUUUAAACAGUGAGACUGCACAGUUCCAGCUAAGAAGGCAGUGAAGUGGGAACAAGCAUGUUUAGAAGAUCUGCAGGUUCAGCAUUUUGCAGUGAGUUCUGCUAAGGCAAAGACAAACUUGGCAUUGGUACUUCAUCUUCUGUGCCAUAUGCUUUAUUCAUCUGAGAAUUGUUUUUUUCCUGCAGGGCAGGGUGGAUUGGCAGGUAUGGAAAGAAAUUCAUUAAAAUUACUUUGGUUGGUUCUUUGUGCUGGCCACCAUCUUCAUUUUGGUUUUUAUUUCUCAUGCCCAGAACAAUCCUGAAACAAAGACAUCCUCUGCUGGAGCACGAUAAAAACUCUCAAAAGGAGUGCCUGAAAGGCCAUGCUCCUUGGAUGAGCCUGUAAAGGCUGCAAGUUGUGGCUGGAGUAUUUAUAAAGAGUGGUAGAAACCAAGAGACUGAUAAUAAAAGUAACACAUGUUAAGAACCCAAAUAUGCUUACAUUCCAUGCAACAACUGAGUAUUGGCAAAGGUACCAUCUGUUUAUGUGCGAGCCACUUGCCUGGUUUUGCAACAACAGGUUUCUCAGAUGAUGCUUGAACUGAGCUACCUAUUCAGUUUUGCACUAAUUGUCUGAUAAAUGGCAGCCUUUUUAGUGGAAAGACAGACAUUUGAUUAUUUUAGGUUCAGGGAUUCUGGCCAAUUCCUUCCCAAAAGUGGCUGGGGUUGAAUAGCCAAAGAAAAUUUAUGCAUUUAAACUUGAUGAUGCUUAAACACUGCAAGUAAGAACACAGAAAUGGACAGAAGCCUGAGGGGUACCAGAAAUCUCCAGCAAAAUUACUUAUCUAUUCAGAGAAACUGCCAGCAGCUCCUGAUAGUGGCCAUUACAAAUGUAUUUCCAUGUUCUACCCUUUUAAAAUAUAUAUUAUUUUCAGUUAAAAAGAAGUUUGCAUUCAUUCUUGAAGUCCUGUGAUGUUUCUGCACCAAGUAGUUUCCAGGUCUGUCCAUAGGCUGUAGCAAGUUUUUGUUUAUCCAUACAGACAAAGCUUUGAAGGGUUCAGACCACAAAAGCAGAAAUCAACUAACUCAUGAGCCACAGGCAAACAGGGUGGGACAUUUGGCUCCCAUGGCUGUAGGAGAAGGUUCCAGUUCACUGCCAGUUUGACGCAAUGAUACUGGGUAGCCACACAGACAAAGCCCUUUGCCUCUCUCCUUUCCUUAAUUGUGAGGUUAGGUACAAAACCCUUCCUACUUCCACCUCUAAUGCCUACAGGGAAGAAAUACUCCAAAAAGUUUCUUAAGAAAGAUGAAAACUGCAUAGACAUCCUAGUAAAUGCUCUUCAGGUAGUGUAUGUUUCACAGGUUGGGCUUAGGUGUCAUUUACAGAUUUGGUUGAAAUUGAGUCCUUUCAUAUUCUAAUCCACACUGAAUAUAAAAAUGUAGUGUCUCCUGCACAUACAAAGUGCAUAUACCAUUCCAAAGCUUUUACGUGUCCAGAUAAUCAGCUCUUAAAACCCCUGCCUGAGUUUCAGCAGAAUGCAUUAGUGCUGAGAAUAACCAAGGGCUGGAUUUCUCCAGAAGGGCCUUGCUCAUCACUUUAAUGCUCUUCCCUUUCCAUAUAGCCAAAGUGUCAGCCUGCCCAGACCCCAGGGAGUGUCCAGUGCAACUAUCAAUGGAGACGAAUUGUUUCCCAAGCUGGGCACUUAUGAUCCUGUAAAGCAUUUCUUUCUCUUUCUGUUAAAGGAUCAUUUUGGAUGUAGUAAUGAGGAGGAGCAUGACAGGUUUGGUUUCUAGUUAUGAUCUCACCAAAAAAAUGUUUCUGAAAUGGGGGAUUGGGAAGGAAAACAGCAUCUAACAGCUCCUGCUGAGACACAGGCAAUGCAAGGAAACAUUUGGAAAAAUAAUCCAUAGCAGUUGGUGGAAAAGGUUUUACAAAUGGAAAAGAAGUAUUCAACUAAAUCCUGGUUUAUAAAAUAAGUGGGCCUCAUUUGGACCUGUAGAGAGGUGAAGAACAUAGUGUCAUUGAGCAGAAGAGAGGUGGCUUUUCUCUGCAGUGUGCUGUUGGGUCUGACCCAUCCUCAAAACAGAUAAAGCAACUGCCGGCAUUUGUAUGUCAAAGAGAUGUUGGCAUAUUGGAAAGAAUUCAACAAUGAACAACAAUCAAAUAACUAAAGGGAAGAUUAAAUAACUAAAUAGUACAGUUUGGAUAAGUUAAUCCCUAAGAGAAAGAUAAAAUCAUUUGGAAGUAUCAAUAACAUCAGGAAGAGAGUGCUGUUUACAGAGCUCCAGAUGAGGUGUAACAAGAAAGGAAAAUACCUCUUCCUGCAGAAAGGGAAAACACAGACUGGAAGUUUGAGCUGCUAACCCCCUGCUGGUGACCUUCACAGCCCUCUCAACACCCUGCCAAAACCUCAGCUGGUGCAGAGGUUGCAGAGCGCAUCCCCUGGGCCACUCACAGCCAUGAUGGCAACACCCUUCUGCUAAGCAACCUGCCACACACGCCAUGUGUGCUGCACACCAGUAGGCUCCUGUCCCCCUGUGCUUGCACCUCCCACAUGGAAAGUGAAAGCCAAAGUUUCCAAAGCCACUUUCCCAUCACUAAAAUACCAUUUCUCCCCAGCAUUUGAUUCAACAGCAAAGCACAAAGUACCUGGUAGGUCUGCAAAACAGCAAGUCCACCUCUGGAGCCUGCAAAUGCCACAUCACAAGCACAGGUCAGUACUUGCCUGUAGCAAUUGGAUAACUGGAUGGGUAGCAGCAGGAUUUCACACACACCCCUACAUGUUUUCUGGUGGGCCCAUCCACAGAGCCAGUUUCUAAUUUCUCCCUGUGAGCUCUGUCUGGAGUUAAAGCUGCUUAACUCUUCCCAUUAGUGAUGGCUUGCUCGAGCUCAAAUACACCAUGCUGGAUGUCUGCCUCAGGCAGACUCUUCUGGCAAAUUUUAGCUAAAAUAAUUCAACUGUCUCCUAGAAUGAGAUUAGAAAGAUAGAUGUUAGCUUGCUCUGUUCAGAUCAAGCAUGUCUGGCUUCAGAGGAUGGUACUGCUACUCAGCCAGGGAAGGGGGAUGUGCCUUUGUAAGGGUCCCAAGUUCCCCCACCUGUGGUCAAGUUACAAGUUAUACAAAGCCUCACUCCGCAUGUGCCUCAUGGGGGCUUGUUUGAGUUUGGUAGAUAAUUUAUCUGAGGACCCCAUCUGUUUUGGUCUUGCUGUAGGCCAGGGACACAGGUGCUGCCUACCAUCACCAAUGCUGAGGGCUGCCGUCAGCUGUGCCCUUGAAGGUGAAGCAAGGAUCCUUCAUCCUGCACAGCUGCAAUUAAGCAGGACAAGGACCCUUCCCCACACAACCUCAACUCCCCUGGGAACUGUCUGCCCUGGGCAUCAAAAGAUACAGAGUUGUUGUCAGGGGAAAACCAGUAUUUACAUAUGGAUUUUAAUCCUGUAGCUAAAAGCAUCACUAUCAUGGUGCCUGUGCAGAUGGGACUCAGACAGAAAGUGUUACAUCAGUCAUUUCUAACUGCUGAGUGCUUGACCCUACAAGCUUCCCAUACUUUCCGUCUAUGUUGGGUUUGUGUCAUUUCCUUGAUUUACACAUGGCAAACUGAAACAAAAAUGCAGGAAUCCCAUCAUGUGAUAUCACACUGGCUUCCGCGUGACUCACCAGCAGGGCUGGCUCCAUUCUCAGAUGUUAAUUCCAUCAUGCUUGAAAAACAGAAUAACUGGGAAUACUGAUAGCCCAACAACCUCUGCUGAAGGAGCAGGCAGAAAUGACUCACAGCCUGUGCCAUCCACUUCCCCAUGUAUUUGCUGACAACAGACAAUUACUGCAGAGCAGAAAGCCCUGGGUUUGCUAUACUCCAGGUUCUGCAGAAGGUAUGAUUUGGUGAGGUGAGAAUACUCCCAAAUCUGACUUCUUCUGCUCCUCUGGGUGCUUCCAGCCUGUCUUGUGCCUUAGUCCUGCUCCCAUAUCCAUCUCCACAUCUGACAUCAGUUCCUCUCUCUGGGCAGGGGGCCCUCAGCCUUUGCACUGCAGUAGGGUUCCCUCUCGCCUUCCCUCCCUCCCGCAGCCAGGUCCUAGCCCUAGUCAGCAUCAGCCUUCCUGCAUGUUCACCUCAGUAUCAGCAGAGCACAUCUGCGAGCACCUCCAGGCUCUGGUGCACAGCACUGCAGUGACCCUGUCAGCACAGAAAAACAAUGUCCAAGAGCUGCUGCUUGGCACUUGCAGCAGGAGGCUGCAGCCUGCCUGCCAUAUCAUCAUCUGAUUUAGCCAUCACACUUGAACAAGUAUCCACUGAGCAAGUGUCUUCAGAGAAUUCAGAUUCUAAUUCUUAAGAAGUUUCUGUUGAGUGGCUGAGAUCUGAGGCCCUCUUUUCCCUAUGGUUUCUUAGUUCAGCUGAUUUCUUUUUUUCCCCAUGAAAAACAAACAAAGGUUGUUUUGAUAUCUGAUAUCUGCCAAAUUUCAAGCCUCCCCUGUAGAGGCAAAAAUUGCUAGAGUUCAUCAACAGAUCACUUUAAAAACAUGUCUGAAUAUGAAGGAAAAAAAUAUUGUUUCUCUCAUCUCUUUCUUGUAAGCAAACAAAAACAUUUUCUGCUGAAGCUUGCCAGAUGCAUUCAGCUUGAGACAGAUACCCAGAACAGCUAAGUGGUAGAUAGAUAAAGUUUUCAGUGGUUUACAAGCAACUGAACACUUGGUCUUAUAAGAAACGUUAGACAGUCUUAAAAAUAGAUAGAGUCCACAUCAAAGUCAUCAAGUACCUGUAAUUUAAACUGAGCUUCUGCUGAGUCAGGAGUAAAGAUGAACAGAAAAUGCAUUAAUUUGAUGGUAAAUUCCCCAAAUUUGUAACUGCUUUUGUACUUUCUAAGAGGACUGUGGUGAAGAGACUUGUUUCCUUCAGAAGUGCCUGUGUUCUGCCACAAGCUGCCUAAGCAGAAACUGCCUGGGAUCUAAAUGAGCUUGACGAGUGAUUCUCCCCAGGACCUCCACUGGCUCUCCAGGAGCCCACUCUGGGACCUGGAGCUGUAUCUUCCCACUUCCCUGCCCGCACAGACCUCCAGGGCAGGCUACUCAUUCUGGGGGGGCAUCACAAGGAAGCAGGUGCCAAGCACAUGUGUUGCAUUGCUCAGUACUUGAUUGGGAGCUAGAAACAGAAAGCUGCUGAGCUGGGCAGGGGAGCAACGGCCCUGGCUUUUUGGAUUUACUGUGUAAGUGUGGAUUAUUUAGAGCCUGGAGUAAUGGGACCCCUCAGUGAAGGAUGCUGCCAAACAGAGGGAAAUCUGUGGGUUGGUAUUUUGGAUCAGGCCAGGAAGGUCGCAUCAUUUUGCAAUUAUGUUAUGGCAUGAACUAACAAAAGCCUCGGCCCAUCUCCUGGCCUGUCACUGCUGAGCAUUUCCAUCUCUACAUCACACCCACACACACACAUGCACACACUCUCCCUGAACAGGGCCAUCCCACCAUUACUCAUCAUGGCACCAUACCCUACAUCAGGCUGCUCUUGCUCAUGAAGCAUGUGUGCAGAAUGUGCAAUCCUCUGCCACCUCAUUUUCAAAGCACAGGCAAAGCCUAUUCCCCAUUUGUUUAUGCAGACAUGAAUAGGAGGCAGGUAGCAGGUCUGCAGACAGAUGGGCUCAACCUGUCCUUCUUUCCUUCCUCUUGCCUCCCACCUUUUCCCAAGAAUGCCCACUACACGCUUGCACCUGCAGUGGUGCCACAGCACUUGCUGAAACACCUCUCCCCCUGUUUCAGGGAUGGUUUCACCUGUGACCACCAAGCUGGUGCUGGUAUUUCACAGUGCUGCUCUUCAAGGCCCUCUUUCAUAGCCAAACCAUGAUUCAUCAUCCUUGCAACUGGGAACCUGCUUAUUUAUUGAUCUUUGCUGACAGAAACAGACUGGAGACGGGGUACAGGGGCCAGGAGAGAAUGGUGUUUUGAUUUCUGUGCUUUUGGUUUUGUCUGGGCAAUAUAGAAAAGCUGCCCUUACACCAAUGGUGUGGCCACUGCUGGGACAGCAAGGGCAUGAACAAGAGGGCCCGUGAGCCCUGCAGUGCUGCAUGAGGUGUAAUGGUAACAUUCCGUAAAGGGAAACCCAUGCACAAGUUUUCAUGUGAAUAAUGAAAACCCAAGCCUUCUCACUCUUCGCCACAUUCCAGUCCCUCCUCCUGUUUUCUCUAUAAUUCCAUUUUCAUCUCUCUCCCUUCUUUGUACCCCAGUUUUACAGAUAUUGCUCUUUUGGCGAAGAGCAUCCCUGUACUGAGAUGAUGAGUUUAUAAGGCAGAGGGCUGCAACAAAUGCCUCGUGAAGCCCAGCCAGCAGCCCCCAGCCCCCUUCUUCCCCUCCUCAAAGUUCACACGGUUUAGUAUGCAAGCUUCCUGCUGCCUGCCCAGCCAGUUCACUAUUCACAGGCAAACUGCGCUCCUCCGCUUGGCUCCCGAAGAAGAAUAAGUAUAAAAAGCCCUCAAAGUCUUGCUGCUGAGCCAGCAGGAAACUCAAACUGCUCUGAGCAUGGGAACCAAGAGAAAUGCUGUGGCCAGCACAACAGGUAUUGUUUGGGAGGAAAUCCCGGCAGCAGACACGACUGCCUACGCACACACAGAUAUAUAUGUAUAUGUUUAGUGAGGGCUUGGCAAAAGGGAGGGUUGGGGAAGUGUACAAGGAGAGAAGAAUAGAUUAGCAGAUAUAUCCAAGAAAGAAUAAGAAAGCUGCUCAGCCAAGAUAAACAGCUAUAUCACUAGCCAAAGAACCAACCCAUUUGCCACGCAUUUGAACCAUGUGGGACCUCAAGGUAAAGUGACGUGUCUUGACCUUGGUCUCUUGACAUUGGGUUCUUGACAAGUCUUUCUAUGUCCUGGAUUUUGUUCACGUCAUGAGUGAGUUUAUGAGGCAAAUAGCAUGUUUCUCCCACUUGCUGUUUUGAUUUAUGUCAGGGAACAUUUUUUUAUCUGGAUUCCCUUUGAGUGAAAGGAAAUGAGGAGAUGGACUCCAGGAGCACAGCUCCUGCACUCCAACCCCGAAUGAGCAUCCAGUCCCUGGGAACCAGAGCUGAGGCAGUCUGAUGUAAAUCCCCUGACACAGCAUGUGCUCGCACCAAACAGCCACCUCUGUGAAUCUGCUUCCUGAUGCACCACACCAGCUGCUAACCAUUGGCACAGUCUAUCUGCAAAUAUGGUAAAUUUAAGUGCAAAAGGAAAAGGAAAAAGGAAAAACUUGAAUUACAUACUUCUUUUUUCAGUGAAUAAAAAAAAAGUGAACAAAAGCUGUGGUAAAUGAGCUCACAAAUGUCACAUUCACAGGGAUCACAAUAAGAAGUUUGACGAGAUUAUGGUGAUCUAAAAGUAUUGUAAUUAUUAUGUCUUACAGUCUUUCUUGACAGAGAUGUUCCACAGAAAUAAACCUGAGAGCAACAGGUCAUCCCACCCAACUCAGCACCCCUUGCAAUCAUUCCAAGGAGAAGCAGCUGUGAAAAGCCCCCAUAAGAGAAUGUGCAGCCCCAAGCCUUUGGAUAAACACCAAAAAGCAGUUUGGAAACCUGGCCGAAACAAGCUGAUUCUCCAGAGUUUGUAACACCAGUGGAAAAUGUGGCUAAGCGCUUACUUCUGCUAUUAGCAGCUUUCCCACAAUAGGUUUUUCCUGUGCUAUCUGGGAGUUCCAGGCUACUCAAGACUUCUGCAGUGCUCCUACCCCUGAAAAUCCACUGCAGAGUCAUGGCUGAAGGAGAGAGAUCUGAACUUUUACUUCCUGGGCUCCCAAAUAAAAAGUCCUCCGAAAAUACAGGUAUCUUAAAACUCAGCUAACUGCCUUAGUGACCCUGGCAUGGGCGCUGAGCAGAGAUGAAGGCCUGGUGAGCUAAGCAGUAGGAAAGGCAGCUGGUUGGUGCAGAGAUAGCCUGGGAUCUUCAGAGCAGCCACAUGGAGCCAAGAAUGGAAAACAUGACCAGUUCUUUGUGGCAGAAGGGACAAGAGUCACAUGCAGGAGAUUUUAGUCAGCAUUGUGAAGCUCAGAGAUUCCAACCAGCACUUCUCCCUGCUACGGCCACCUGGAAGAAAACAAAGCAGUCUCCUGGGGAGCAGCAGCCCCUCAGCCCCUGGAGUUGCCUGGUUUCCAUCCUGCAGGGUGGUGACAUGAAGCAGACGCACUCACUCCUCUCCUCACCUGUCCCCACUCAAAGAGUACAUUGAGGAAAGGGAAUUAAACUGCAGUACAGCAUUCCUGCGCAGCAGAUGGGGCUGCACUGUGGAUCACUCCUGCCCCAGGGAGUGUUGUAUGUACACUGCACCCACAGGCACAGCCUGCAUGGCUUUCUUGUGCCCUUGCACAUUUGUAAAUGCAGUGUUGCUCAAGGGGAGCAAACGAGCAGCCCAGAGCCUGGCAGGUCUCUGCGGGAUGAGCAGAGAACAUCCCGUGCCACUGCAAGUGCAAAGGUCACUGAGUCAUCCAUGUCCUCCCCCAUGAAGCACAGGGACUGAGGGUGCAGGAUGAGAUAGGAAAGAUAACCCACCUCCCCAGGGCUCAGGAGCAGAGGCAAAGAGGUGAAACCCUCCCAGCAGCAGGCUCUCACACACAGCCUUGGCACUGCGCCUCCCUGCCGACCAGGAAAACUGGCUGCAUUACACAGAGAGCCCCAUUCAGCCUCACAGGCCCAUUGAGCACAGUGCUGGGGUGGACUGCCAGCAAGGGGGACACCCAUUGACAGACUCGGUGAGCACUGCACAGACAGUCCCUGCCCGCCGGGUGCGGCAUCCGCCAGUGGCUCCAUGGAGAAAGGCCCUGCGUGUUUGCCGGUGUUUGUUACGGGAGUCCAAAGAGGAGAACGAAACUCUAAAGCAAGACAAUACUUCUAAGUUGAAGGGGAACAUUUCUUCCCGCAUUAAUUAUUUCCCAUGCUAUUCCUGGCAGUGACCUUCACCAGGAAGGAAAAAAAAAUCAGAUUUGUUUUUAUAUCUUUUACCCGACUUCCUAUACUAAAGCCUCUGGCUAGAAUGACUCACAUUUAUAUCAGCCAUCACAUUAUAUUACGCUGUAUGAGUGCUGCGACCCGUCUUGUCUUCCUCAGCACUAGGGUUUGUUAGCAUUAAACCUGGCAAUUUGCAGCUAUAUUUAAAGACUACCUGCCUCAGUGGCAGUGUCCAUAAUACCCUCGUUUCAUCUUUGGAAGAAAUACCAUGAGGAUUACAUUUGAGACAGCUGGCAAUCCCAGACUGAAGGGAAAAUUUUCUGGUUCUGUGCAGAGAAGUGUUUGCCUGUUGCAGAGCAGGCACCCCUUCUCCAACCACUUAUGAUGAAAUCACUUUUGUGCAUCAUGGGCCUGUUAUGUACCACUUGCCCUGUUAGAGAUUCCUAGGGUUAUUUCUGCUCCCUGUGUGCAACGGAGCUGCAUGCUGAAACCACAGCCCCGUGGGGGGAAUGACCCUCAUGGCUCCUCAUCAGUCAUUGGCCCAGCCUUCCCUGCCCACAAUUUAAAGGGCUGAGUAGAAACUCCACUAGAGGAGUUUCAGAGACUUGUGCUCCUCACAUAGAACCUCUCAAAGACAGCAGCGGGCUGGUCCCUGUUCUCUCAUUCCAUUCACACUUGGUUUCUUCCUCUGCUUUGCAGACCUGUGCUCACAAAGAAUCACCUUUGUUAUGAAAGGUGCAUAUGCAAGCAGGUUACCUUCCAGACUUUUCCUUUUUUUAAAAAAUAAAGGCAUUUGGAUUGCAGCAAUGGCCCGUCUCCUGCCAGAACUGAAGCUGUGUCAUACCAGGAGCUGUGUGAAUGCACAGGGAGCAUCCUAGCCCUCAGGUGCUUCCAGCCUAAAAGUGAAGCAGUCUAACAGUUGAAAGAAAAAUGUCAUACUAGAGGUUUUAACAUAAUAACAUACCUGAAAAGGAGUUUGAUCUUCAUCCUACAGAAUCCCAAGGAAAUCUAGUGAAAAUGUAACCAUCCCACAGAGUCUGGACACUUUUCCCUGCCACAGAAAGGCUGUUACAUCUCCACCAUUGCUGAAAAACCCCUGACCUGCAGUGUGAGGAUGCAACAAAUGCUGGCUGCUGGCUGUGCUGGGGACCUGUUCCAUCUCUGAGCUGUGCCUCAUGGCAUGUCGGCAGGGUCAGUGCAGAAUGUACCAACCUCUUUUAUAAACAAAACAGCACCAUGAACCUUGGUGUGAAAUCAACUAAUUUAAGGCAAAUUGCAGCAAGUGUGACAAGCAGCAGGAGGUAAGGAAGGCUUAAGGGUACUUCUAAAAGUGUUUAUUUCACUGACAGCCCCAGAAGAGGUCAUAGUCUGGAACUGGCAGAAUGUUUGCAGCAGUCAUUGUUCUUUCUAGUGUAGGUCUAUCUGAUUUUCCAUGACACAAGAUCUAACCACUGGGCUCGAGGCUGUACCACAGAAUUUUAGUUCAAAAAACCCAAGA